rnacentral:snRNA from 1 species
AUGCUCGCUUCAGCUGCACAAAUAUUAAAAUUGGAACAAUAUGGGUGGCCCCUGCACAAGGAUGACACGCAAAUUUGUGAAGCAUUUCCUGUAUUU